rnacentral:pre_miRNA from 1 species
GCCUUUUGCCCUCCGUCCGAAAAAACUUGUCCCAAGCUUGUUUCUCAAAUGGAUGUAUCUAGCACUAACUUGGUGCUAGAUACAUCCAUUUGAGGGACAAGUUUUUUCAGACGGAGGGAGUACGUU